rnacentral:rRNA from 1 species
UGUGUAGGCGGUUGUUUAAGUUUGGUGUGAAAUCUCCCGGCUCAACUGGGAGGGUGCGCCGAAUACUGAAUGACUUCGAGUGCGGGAGAGGAAAGUGGAAUUCCUGGUGUAGCGGUGAAAUGCGUAGAUAUCAGGAGGAACACCGGUGGUGUAGACGGCUUUCUGGACCGUAACUGACGCUGAAACACGAAAGCGUGGGUAGCAAACAGGAUUAGAUACCCUGGUAGUCCACGCCCUAAACGAUGCAUAUUGGUGUGGGCAGUUCAUUCUGUCCGUGCCGGAGCUAACGCGUUAAAUAUGCCGCCUGGGGAGUACAGUCGCAAGGCUGAA